UUUAUUGUUUUAUAUAUUUUUUUAUUUUGGACGAAAAUAUGAUGCAUAUGGAGGAUAGAAGCAUUUUACCGUAGUUGCAUCAGUAAUAUGAGGGAUCCUGUUAAGAAAAUAAAAAAAAUGCGACAAGAAAAUAUGCAAAAAUAACCUACGAGAAUUGGGUUGCCUCCCAACAAGCGCUAAGUUUAACGUCUUCAGCCAGACGCAGUGCAUCCUUAUCAAAUCAUA
rnacentral:lncRNA from 1 species